rnacentral:misc_RNA from 1 species
GAAAUGCGAUAAGUAAUGUGAAUUGCAGAAUUCCGUGAAUCAUCGAAUCUUUGAACGCACAUUGCGCCCUCUGGCAUUCCGGGGGGUAUGCCUGUCCGAGCGUCAUUACGCACCCUCAAGCCCGGCUUGUGUGAUGGGCCCCGGCGUCUCGUUCGCGAGACGGGCCCGAAAGGCAGCGGCGGCGUCGACCCGAUGAGCCCGAGCGUAUGGGGACUUCUGUCACACGUUCGCGGUGCGGACCGGCGCCUACUUGACUUUUCUGAUUAUCCAGGUUGACCUCGGAUCAGGUAGGGAUACCCGCUGAACUUAAGC